rnacentral:rRNA from 1 species
GAUCAUGGCUCAGGACGAACGCUGGCGGCGUGCCUAAAACAUGCAAGUCGAACGGAGCACCCUGGACAGAGACUUCGGUCAAUAGAAAGGAAUGCUUAGUGGCGGACGGGUGAGUAACGCGUGAGCAACCUACCUCAAAGAGGGGGACAACAGUUGGAAACGACUGCUAAUACCGCAUGAAGUAUAGAAACCGCAUGGUAAUUAUGCCAAAGAUUUAUCGCUUUGAGAUGGGCUCGCGU